UCCUUCCUACGGGAGGCAGCAGUGAGGAAUAUUGGUCAAUGGCCGAAGGGCUGAACCAGCCAAGCCGCGUGAAGGAAUAAGGCCCUACGGGUCGUAAACUUCUUUAGUCAGGGAACAAAGGGAGCCACGCGUGGCGCUGUGAGUGUACCUGAAGGAUAAGCAUCGGCUAACUCCGUGCCAGCAGCCGCGGUAAUACGGAGGAGGCGAGCGUUAUCCGGAUUUAUUGGGUUUAAAGGGUGCGUAGGCGGUUUGUCAAGUCAGCGGUAAAAAUUCCGGGCUCAUCCCGGUCCCGCCGUUGAACCUAG
rnacentral:rRNA from 1 species